rnacentral:lncRNA from 1 species
UAUGGACAAGAUUACAAUUAAUUGUGACAUGUUUCUUCGACAACAGCACUCUUUGCGGCUCCUGCCGGCUCUAUACUGACCCUGUUUCACACGCAAUAUUUUCCUUAUUUAGUCACUAACACACCUUUUGUAUCCCACUAUGAAGAACAUCAACAUUUCCACCAAAACCCAGAAAAAAUCAUCAUUUUAUAGACGAAACAAUAAAAUAUUUCAAACAAUUUGUUUUGCUUUUGGCAACGCAUGCGCAGUUCGGUCGACAUACAGUUUUCUGUAUGUCUG